UACGUAGGGGGCAAGCGUUGUCCGGAUUUACUGGGCGUAAAGAGCGUGUAGGCGGCCACGCAGGUCCGUUGUGAAAACUGGAGGCUCAACCUCCAGCUGUCGACAGAAACCGUAUGGCUAGAGUCCGGAAGAGGAGAGUGGAAUUCCUGGUGUAGCGGUGAAAUGCGCAGAUAUCAGGAAGAACACCAAUGGCGAAGGCAGCUCUCUGGGACGGUACUGACGCUGAGACGCGAAAGCGUGGGGAGCGAACAGG
rnacentral:rRNA from 1 species